UACGGGGGGGGGGUAAGCGUUGUUCGGAAUUACUGGGCGUAAAGGGCUCGUAGGCGGCCAACUAAGUCAUACGUGAAAUCCCUCAGCUUAACUGGGGAACUGCGUGUGAUACUGGAUGGCUUGGAUUUGGGAGAGGGAUGCGGAAUUCCAGGUGUAGCGGUGAAAUGCGUAGAUAUCUGGAGGAACACCGGUGGCGAAGGCGGCAUCCUGGACCAAUAUUGACGCUGAGGAGCGAAAGCCAGGGGAGCAAAGCGGG
rnacentral:rRNA from 1 species